rnacentral:rRNA from 1 species
AUUGAACGCUGGCGGAAUGCUUUACACAUGCAAGUCGAACGGCAGCACGGACUUCGGUCUGGUGGCGAGUGGCGAACGGGUGAGUAAUGUAUCGGAACGUGCCCAGUCGUGGGGGAUAACGUAGUGAAAAUUACGCUAAUACCGCAUACGAUCUAUGGAUGAAAGCGGGGGAUCGCAAGACCUCGCGCGAUUGGAGCGGCCGAUAUCAGAUUAGGUAGUUGGUGGGGUAAAGGCCCACCAAGCCAACGAUCUGUAGCAGGUCUGAGAGGACGACCAGCCACACUGGAACUGAGACACGGUCCAGACGCCUACGGGAGGCAGCAGUGGGGAAUUUUGGACAAUGGGCGAAAGCCUGAUUCAGCCAUUCCGCGUGCAGGAUGAAGGCCCUCGGGUUGUAAACUGCUUUUGUACAGAACGAAAAGGUUUCUACUAAUACUAGGAGCUCAUGACGGUACUGUAAGAAUAAGCACCGGCUAACUACGUGCCAGCCGCCGCGGUAA